rnacentral:lncRNA from 1 species
CAGGAAGGGUACACUUUUGUCUGAAAGUAGAGAGCAACCCGACAGUGAGAGGAUCCGCAAAUUAAGCUGUGCUGCACUGGCCAAAGAUGCAAUACCAGAAUCAGUGAUUCCACACUUCGAAAUAUCAAGUUCACUGAGAAACCAGCAGUUGAUGGAAAUUGCAAACAAGGUUGCAUCAGUAACAUAUCGACAACCAUCAACAUUCAGAAACUCAAGACUUCCCCCAUGCAACUCAG